CGGAGAAUAGCGUGAAGCCUCCACAUGUGCUAUGUCUCUGCGGUAAUGCACUCAACAAGCCAGGUUUAAGGGUUGACGGUCUCAACCCGGAUUGAGAUCAGAGCCACAGUAAAUAAUGGCAGAAAUGAAAUGGCAAAAGAGAAAUCCUAAAACCACAGGAGGAGUCUAUACAGUUUACUUUAAAGAAUAAAGACAAGGAUGGCCUUGAGGACAGAUUCAUCAAUGACUUUAAAGGACAAUGAAGUUCAGCUGUGUGACACUGCACCAGGAAUCAGAUAGCUUUUAUCGUUGUCUUGGUCUGAGGGCCUGUCUUCAGUCUCCUGCUCUCCUUGCAGCGCCCCCACCAUGGAGCCCAGCGUCCCAAAGCUACCUGCGUGGUUCUCCACCUGUGCAGAAACACACAGGCUGACCUCUGACCCCUUCAGUUUGGGCAGGACCUCAGGCUGGGAGACGGGUGUGAUACUGUCACCUGUGCUCUGUACAGUAAUGCUGGACUGAAUGUGGCACAUUUGGAAAAUACGUAAGGGAUAAUGUAUUGUCAGUUGUUAUCGCAAAGCAAACCUGACAGGAUGAUCAGGAAAAGUAAAGUCUUGUAUCGCACUGAAGGGGUUUAUUCUGCAAUAACAACCGGUUGACUUUACAGGAACCUGCUUAGUACACGGCUAUAUACCAAAUAAGUAAAUAAAUGGACAUAAAAUACUGAUUUGCAUUGAAAUUAUGUAAUUAUGUGGGAACAAAGAAAUCGCUGAACAGCUGAUUUGCACCCCGGUUAGCAUCAGAGUUCUGUUGUUGUUUAUUUUGUAAAUAAUGACCAACCGGGUGCUCUUUAUAUACAAGACUACUUG